UGCUGGAGGUAUCAGAAGUGCGAAUGCUGACAUAAGUAACGAUAAAGCGGGUGAAAAGCCCGCUCGCCGGAAGACCAAGGGUUCCUGUCCAACGUUAAUCGGGGCAGGGUGAGUCGACCCCUAAGGCGAGGCCGAAAGGCGUAGUCGAUGGGAAACAGGUUAAUAUUCCUGUACUUGGUGUUACUGCGAAGGGGGGACGGAGAAGGCUAUGUCGGCCGGGCGACGGUUGUCCCGGUUUAAGCGUGUAGGUGUGUGCUCCAGGCAAAUCCGGUGCACUUUAACACUGAGGCGUGAUGACGAGGCACUACGGUGCUGAAGUGACAAAUGCCCUGCUUCCAGGAAAAGCCUCUAAGCAUCAGGUAACAUCAAAUCGUACCCCAAACCGACACAGGUGGUCAGGUAGAGAAUACCAAGGCGCUUGAGAGAACUCGGGUGAAGGAACUAGGCAAAAUGGUGCCGUAACUUCGGGAGAAGGCACGCUGAUAUGUAGGUGAAGUGAUUUACUCAUGGAGCUGAAAUCAGUCGAAGAUACCAGCUGGCUGCAACUGUUUAUUAAAAACACAGCACUGUGCAAACACGAAAGUGGACGUAUACGGUGUGACGCCUGCCCGGUGCCGGAAGGUUAAUUGAUGGGGUUAUCCUCGCGGAGAAGCUCUUGAUCGAAGCCCCGGUAAACGGCGGCCGUAACUAUAACGGUCCUAAGGUAGCGAAAUUCCUUGUCGGGUAAGUUCCGACCUGCACGAAUGGCGUAAUGAUGGCCAGGCUGUCUCCACCCGAGACUCAGUGAAAUUGAACUCGCUGUGAAGAUGCAGUGUACCCGCGGCAAGACGGAAAGACCCCGUGAACCUUUACUAUAGCUUGACACUGAACACUGGUCCUUGAUGUGUAGGAUAGGUGGGAGGCUUUGAAGUGUGGACGCCAGUCUGCAUGGAGCCGCCCUUGAAAUACCACCCUUUAAUGGCUGGUGUUCUAACGUGGGCCCGUAAUCCGGGUUGCGGACAGUGUCUGGUGGGUAGUUUGACUGGGGCGGUCUCCUCCUAAAGAGUAACGGAGGAGCACGAAGGUCAGCUAAUCCUGGUCGGACAUCAGGAGGUUAGUGCAAUGGCAUAAGCUGGCUUGACUGCGAGCGUGACGGCGCGAGCAGGUGCGAAAGCAGGUCAUAGUGAUCCGGUGGUUCUGAAUGGAAGGGCCAUCGCUCAACGGAUAAAAGGUACUCCGGGGAUAACAGGCUGAUACCGCCCAAGAGUUCAUAUCGACGGCGGUGUUUGGCACCUCGAUGUCGGCUCAUCACAUCCUGGGGCUGAAGUAGGUCCCAAGGGUAUGGCUGUUCGCCAUUUAAAGUGGUACGCGAGCUGGGUUUAGAACGUCGUGAGACAGUUCGGUCCCUAUCUGCCGUGGGCGCUGGAGAACUGAGGGGGGCUGCUCCUAGUACGAGAGGACCGGAGUGGACGCAUCACUGGUGUUCGGGUUGUCAUGCCAAUGGCACUGCCCGGUAGCUAAAUGCGGAAGAGAUAAGUGCUGAAAGCAUCUAAGCACGAAACUUGCCCCGAGAUGAGUUCUCCCUGACCCUUUAAGGGUCCUGAAGGAACGUUGAAGACGACGACGUUGAUAGGCCGGGUGUGUAAGCGCAGCGAUGCGUUGAGCUAACCGGUACUAAUGAACCGUGAGGCUUAACCUU
rnacentral:rRNA from 2 species